rnacentral:rRNA from 1 species
GAUAAACGCUGGCGGCGUGCCUAAUACAUGCAAGUCGAGCGGUAAGGCUCCUGCAGGUUAUUCAAUUACUUGAAUGACGUGCUGGAGUACACGAGCGGCGGACGGCUGAGUAACGCGUAGGAAUGUACCCCAAAGUGAGGGAUAAGCACCAGAAAUGGUGUCUAAUACCGCAUGUGGUCUUCGGAUUAAACCUUCGGGGCUUUGGGAGCAGCCUGCGUAUGAUUAGUUAGUUGGUGAGGUAAUGGCUCACCAAGACGACGAUCAUUAGCUGGUCUGAGAGGAUGAUCAGCCAGACUGGGACUGAGACACGGCCCAGACUCCUACGGGAGGCAGCAGUAGGGAAUUUUCCACAAUGGGCGAAAGCCUGAUGGAGCAACGCCGCGUGCAGGAUGAAGGCUUUCGGGUUGUAAACUGCUUUUAUAUGUGACGAUUAUGACGGUAGCAUAUGAAUAAGGAUCGGCUAAUUCCGUGCCAGCCGCCGCGGUAAAAC